AAUAAAAGUUCCGAUGAGGAAGGAAGGGUGCUUCAACACAACAGUGCGCUGAAAUCAGAUCUUGUUACCAACUUUUAACAUUGAUAUUUCACACUGAGAUUGUUGGCAAAUUAAUUUAUGGUUUACCCAUAAGACCAAUUAUUUUAAAAUAUUUGUUUAUGCUCAGUCAAAUCCAGUAGACUGACACUCACGAUACUUGAACUUCGUGUUCAAUAUAUAAAUGCCGCUUCAUACUAAUUUUUAAGUACAGGUCAGCUCGUUUUCUAGAUAUCAUGCGCACAAACAGACGUAUUAAUUAAAGUUAAUUUUUCCGGACCCAUGAGUUAUAGAUUUCGAUAAUGCUUAACCGAUGGCAACAAUUACGAUUUCAGUAAAAAAACAUUACCUUUGCUAACACCUAUUCAAAAACACUGACAUGAUACAUGGAAUAAAAAUCCAGUAUAGGUAUAGUUCUAGUGGCUGUUUUAACGAUUUCAAGUUUAAAAAAGGGUUUAAUAUUUUUUCUACCAGUACCCUUUCUAUACUUAGUUUUCUCCACAGUUCUUAUUCUUUAAUCCAAUAAUAGUUGUAACGAUAUCAAGUAAUGUUGUCACUUGUAAUUUGAUUUUUAUACAGUAACUCAGUUGUGUUAAUAUUUUGACAUUUUGCUCUCCAAAACCAAUUCAAGAUGAAGAUGUACAUUACACGGAUGUAUACAAGUGUAUGUUUCCCAUUGACAGAGACUACUAUGGCGGUGGUGGCUACAGAAACAGCUACAGAAGAUCUCCCUCUCCAUACUAUAGUAGGCGGAGGAGCCGCUACGAAAGAUCCAGAUCACGCUCCUACUCUCCUCGUCGUUAUUAGACGAAGCACCCCGGGCUUGCAUCUCUACAACAUUAUUUAGAUUUAAGUUUGAUACCGUUGUGGCAAAACCCAUUUCAUUAUUUUUAUUCAUUUCUCCUCAAUUACGCCUAGAUUGUUAGUUUCCUGUUAUUUUCCUGACUUUGUGAUAAUGUUAAUCCUCUGUUGUUUUAUUCCUUUUACUGUGUAACCUUAAAAACCGGGUUUUGUCACAAUUUGCUUGUAAAAUACAAUAAUAAAUUUAAUUGUAUGGAAAAUUACUUAUUUCGUGUUAUUGAUUGCUUUCAUAAGUUGAGUUAGUCCACAAUUACUACUAUCUCUGUAGGAGAAGAAACAAUAAGUACUGUAGUAGUUAAGGUUAUAAGAGGGAACUUUGUAUAUAUAGUAAGUAUUUCCUUGUCAAUGAUACAAUUGAUAGUUUUUGUUCACUGAUAUUUGUUUUUUUACAUAUAGCUGUAUGAUUUGUCAGUCACAAUGUUAUGUAUACAGUGUGUUGGAAUUGAAAACCAGGAUUUUUUCACAUGUAUUGUUUGUCAUAUUAACGUUCUCUUAAUAAAGUAUUUGUGAUGCCAAGGGGCCUAUAAUAAGGAACUAUUUGAUUAAAAUUUAAAUAACACUUCUAAUAUUUGUUGUUUGCUUGUUUAUAAGGUUUUGAAGAUAAGGGGUAGCUUAAAUUGAGGAAGAAAAGAAAAUUUUAAAAAGCGGUCAAGCUUAAGCGAAAAUAAUCUCUCCGCGUAAGAGAAGAUUUGAGCAAGCAACCAAAGAAGAAAGAAAACAACGAUCAAGGCACAAGAGCAUUGACGUUGAAGAUUCUUUGGGAUAAUCAGUUAGGUUGAAAAGCUGCGAAUUGCAAUUCACUGAGGUAGAUCGUUAAAAUAGAGUGUUAUUUUGCUUUUUACGUACCUGUUAAAUAACUGAUGUUUUUGUUAUUUUGCUAUAUCAGCAGUUGGCACAUCCACAAUGCAGUUAUUAAAUCAAGACGUUUUAUAACAGCUAAAAUAUCCAUAUACACCAAACUAGAGAAAGAUGGAAGUCCAAUUUCAGCUACAUGAAUUUUUUAAGUUUUUGAUCCGUUUAGUCAUUUUGAUUUGUUAAGUUGGGACAUUAAAGAAGUUUCUUGUGAUUAUAGUUUUUGUUUACAAUUAUUACAGUUAUUGGUUAAUUAAUUUUUUAAUAAUAGACUUAAAGGUUAUUUAAAACAAAAUGUGGAUCAAGCUCAUUUACAUAUCAUCAUAGCAAUGUGUUAUUAUUUUUAGGUGCAAGUAGCUGAUUUGAAAAAUGUUUUCAAAUUAAUAAUUGGUUAUAUAAUUGAUUGUCAAAAAUAUAUAUUUUGAUAUAUUCAUCAAAAUUUUAAACAUUAUGUAAUGUAACUUGGUUCCUAAUAUAUAUAUUUGUAAACAAGUAUAAUUGGAUUUAAAAAGUAGGUACUUUUUAAGUAUUGCAUUUUACUGAAAAAAUGUGUAUAUGUCUAUGUCAAUCUUUUAGUUAUAAAUUUUAAUUUUAAAAACAAUUUGGACCUCCUUCCAGUUGCAUUUACUCUGGAAUCUUGAUUUUGUUAUUAUGUAACAAACAACUAACUGCUGGAUGGGUGGUUUUGACCAUGCUGGAAUUUCAAUUUCUUUUAGUACUGAGAAAUGUUUAUUUUUAGUCAAAUAAACACUAAUGUACUGUA